CUUUUAUGCGUAUCCGGCCCAAAGGAAAUUGCUAUCUGGGAUAAGAUCAGUCACGCCAUUAUGCAUCCAACGUCAUCAGUCCAUCACUCUCAGCCCACACUUGUCCCUCUGAAAGGGCGUUUGUUAACAUGACCAGGCGAUCUUCUCUCUCACCCUCGUCCUCCUCACAGGCUGUGAGUGACAGUAGACUCAGGAUUCCUCCCAUCAAUCCGGCUAACGGCAGCGUCCUCAAACAUGAAAUGACUCGAUAUGCAAUCAAAAUCAAAGCAUCAACAUUUCGGUUCAUAUUGAUAUCUACUGUGCAUUGAGAAAUCUUUUAGUCAAAAAUUACCACUCCUGACAAAAAGUACAUACAGUACAUCCUCACUUGAAACUUGGCUCUAUAUAUAACCAGAAUCACUCAAUAUAGCAUGUACACUGUGUAGAUGGUGGUCAAUGGAGCACAUGUUAUUGUUUGAUUUCUGAAACAAAGAUUUCAUUAUUAGCUUUAAAUAACUUUGGUUGUAUAAGGUAAAGGAACCAUUAAUGUAAAACAAAUGUUAUACACUGUAUGCAUAAUCUUGUAUAAUGUCUACCCUUGAAACUGUUCCUACUACAUAGAGAAAUAAUAGUCUACUCAUAUUAUUAACCACACACACACACACCCCUCAGGCUGUCCUUCAGCUCAUCCUGUGAGAGUGCUAAUGCUAGCUCUUGGCACUAAUACAAUCCACUCUAAUCUUCAAUGUUUGAUUGUAUUUGCUUGAAAGCAAAUGCAACAAGUACAUAAUUAUGGAGCUAAUUAAGCAGCCAAAACACUGGCACCCAGCGCGAGCACCUUCCCAACAGUCAGAGCAUGAUUCAUUAGCGUCUGCUGUAAGCUUAUUAAUCAUCUAUCAGCCAAUUAGCGUACUGUUACCGUUUGCAGUCUGUAUGUAAAUAAAUUCCUGGGUUAAUUUCUUCCUCUGAUAAUGAAGGGAACAUUAUGAAAAUUAGCUGUGUGACUAUGUAAAUGAUCUUUGUCGUUAAUUGCAAAGCAGCGCAUAGAUGUUUUCUUUUUUUCUGCAGCGAACCGAACGAGGGUAGUGAUGCAACAAAACAUUUUCCCAGGCUGUUAGGGAAAUUAAAGGGGAAGCCUUCGAUUCCCAGGAGAAGCGCACAGCUCACUAGAAUGACAUUUUACCCCCACGCCCCCUCCUCCCUCCCUGAUAAUGAUAAUAAUGCCUCUGGUUGGCAGCAGUCCAGGGAGGGAGAAACACUAAGUGUGUAUGUGUGUGUGUGUGUGUGUGUGUGUGUGUGUGUUGGGGUUGCAGGGGGGUGGUGAUUUCCGGAGCGGACCCAAUGCUGGCAGGUCACAUCCAGGUGAAGAACAGCAGGGUCAUCGGUGGUGAAAAAGGACUCGUGGACUCGCAUGCAUGCACACGCACACACGCACACACACAACGGUGGUGAAAAAGGACUCGUGGGCUCAUCUGUACUGUGUCAUGGCCGCCAUACCAUACCAUGGCCACAGCAGAUUAGCCUUCUGGGAUGGAGAUGCUGCCGUGGCGACACAGGGCCACUUCCGCAAAGCCUGUUUGUACAAAGAUUCUAAUGGCCUACUUGCCCCCAACAG